UGAGGUUUCUGGAGGCUUACCUUCCGCGGUUCCUUCGUGAGCUGCAGCUGGCAUGGCUGAAGUUGACCGAACUUGAUGAUUUAGAGGAAGUAAAAGUCGUAACAAGGUUUCCGUAGGUGAACCUGCGGAAGGAUCAUUACUGAUGAUCGUCCGCGAGUGACCAACCAUGGGCUGCCUUCGGUGUAGCUCGGUCGCUCGCUUGCUAUGUGUCAGAAUUUGUUGAAAGCCAUCUCGUUCGUUGUACACUUUGAUGGGUGACCAUCACUGUGUCUCCGUGCCGAGCUAGAUCUCCCCUAGCCGUAAGGCACUUGAACGCCCCUUCGACGACGAGUUGCAUGUGUGUGGUAUGUGUCAGAAUCUGGUGAAGCUUUCUGCAUGUGAUGUGCCUUGUGUGGAUCCGUGGCCAUUGCAUUGUGUCUGGUGCUUAGAUACCCAGACACUUAGAACGCUUGCGCGGAAAGCAAACUCGAUCGUUGUACACUUUGAUGGGUGACCAUCACUGUGUCUCCGUGCCGUGCUAGAUCCCCCCUAGCCGUAAGGCACUUUGAACGCCCCUUCGACGACGAGUUACAAGAGUGUGUUAUGUGUCAGAAUCUGGUGAAGCUUUCUGCAUGUGAUGUGCCUUGUGUGGAUCCGUGGCCAUUGCAUUGUGUCUGGUGUGUAGGUACCCAGACACUUAGAACGCUUGCGCGGAAAGCAAACUCGAUCGUUGUACACUUUGAUGGGCAACCAUCACUGUGUCUCCGUGCCGUGCUAGAUCUCCCCUAGCCGUAAGGCACUUUGAACGCCCCUUCGACGACGAGUUACAAGAGUGUGGUAUGUGUCAUAAUCUGGUGAAGCUUUCUGCAUGUGAUGUGCCUUGUGUGGAUCCGUGGCCAUUGCAUUGUGUCUGGUGUGUAGGUACCCAGACACUUAAGCAAACUCGAUCGUUGUACACUGUGAUGGGCGAGCAUCACUGUGUCUCCGUGCCGUGUAAGAGCUCCCCUGGCCAUCAGGCACUUGAAAGGUCCUUCGACGACGAGUUACAAUAGUGGUGUGUUAGAUACGUCAGGUGAUGGUAUCUACUGUUGUGCAAUACGUAUCCGGCCACGGCACGGAACGAAUGGGAACGGUGGUGCAGUCAUACAAGGGCCAUGGGGCGGUACGCAAAGGAUACGGAUGAGCGAGUAUGCAGGCCCAAUACUCAAUAGCUCGAUCCGAUCCAAGCACAUGAGUUGACUGCGGCGUCAGGUUAACCAAUGUGCAAUACGUAUCCGGCUACGGCACGGAACGAACAGGAACUGUGGUGCAGACAUACAAGGGCCAUGGGGCGGUACGCAAAGGAUACGGAUGAGCGAGUAUGCAGGCCCAAUACUCAAUAGCUCGAUCCGAUCCAAGCACAUGAGUUGACUGCGGCGUCAGGUUAACCAAUGUGCAAUACGUAUCCGGCUACGGCACGGAACGAACAGGAACUGUGGUGCAGACAUACAAGGGCCAUGGGGCGGUACGCAAAGGAUACGGAUGAGCGAGUAUGCAGGCCCAAUACUCAAUAGCUCGAUCCGAUCCAAGCACAUGAGUUGACUGCGGCGUCAGGUUAACCAAUGUGCAAGAUUCUAUAUGGCCGGUAGAAUCUUGUGUCUUAAGCGAUUUGAUACCAAGACACCAGAACGAAAGUUAGUUGAAGAGUUAUUAAACUCUUAUGAAGUAUGGUUGUGCAACUACAACUUAUGACUUUAACCUAUAAAGUGGAUAUGGACUUGCAAUUAUAACAUGGAAUCUCUACACACCCCAUGAGCUCGAUCCAAUCCACGCACACGAGUUGCCUGAUUAGCGACAGGUAUACCGAUGUGCAAUACGUAUCCGGCCAUAGGCACGGAACGAACAGGAACUGUGGUGCAGACAUACAAGGGCCAUGGGGCGGUACGCAAAGGAUACGGAUGAGCGAGUAUGCAGGCCCAAUACUCAAUAGCUCGAUCCGAUCCAAGCACAUGAGUUGACUGCGGCGUCAGGUUAACCAAUGUGCAAGAUUCUAUAUGGCCGGUAGAAUCUUGUGUCUUAAGCGAUUUGAUACCAAGACACCAGAACGAAAGUUAGUUGAAGAGUUAUUAAACUCUUAUGAAGUAUGGUUGUGCAACUACAACUUAUGACUUUAACCUAUAAAGUGGAUAUGGACUUGCAAUUAUAACAUGGAAUCUCUACACACCCCAUGAGCUCGAUCCAAUCCACGCACACGAGUUGCCUGAUUAGCGACAGGUAUACCGAUGUGCAAUACGUAUCCGGCCAUAGGCACGGAACGAACAGGAACUGUGGUGCAGACAUACAAGGGCCAUGGGGCGGUACGCAAAGGAUACGGAUGAGCGAGUAUGCAGGCCCAAUACUCAAUAGCUCGAUCCGAUCCAAGCACAUGAGUUGACUGCGGCGUCAGGUUAACCGAUGUGCUAAGAGAGUUGUUCCUGGGCCUUCAAAGUGACUUCAAAACUAUCUUAGCGAAUGGUGGCCAUGGGCGUAGACAUGAGCCACAAGUCACAAGGCCUGGGACUAUUGGGUAAUAAAGACAACUUAGUCAGAAAGUUAGUCUUUGGAC